rnacentral:tRNA from 1 species
GAGGGUACAGCUCAGUGGUAGAGUGCAUGCCUAGCAUGUACAACGUCCUGGGUUCAAUCCCCAGUGCCUCCG